CAGCCGCCGCGGGAAUACGAAGGGGGCUAGCGUUGUUCGGAAUCACUGGGCGUAAAGGGUGCGUAGGCGGAUUCUUAAGUCAGGGGUGAAAUCCCGAGGCUCAACCUCGGAACUGCCUUUGAUACUGGGGAUCUUGAGUCCGGAAGAGGUGAGUGGAACUGCGAGUGUAGAGGUGAAAUUCGUAGAUAUUCGCAAGAACACCAGUGGCGAAGGCGGCUCACUGGUCCGGAACUGACGCUGAGGCACGACAGCGUGGGGAGCAAACAGGAUUAGAUACCCGCGUAGUCCCUGUCUCUUAUAC
rnacentral:rRNA from 1 species